UACGUAGGGUGCAAGCGUUGUCCGGAAUUAUUGGGCGUAAAGAGCUCGUAGGCGGUCUGUCGCGUCGGCUGUGAAAACCCGGAGCUCAACUCCGGGCCUGCAGUCGAUACGGGCAAACUGGAGUACUGCAGGGGAGACUGGAAUUCCUGGUGAUAGCGGUGAAAUGACGCAGAUAUCAGGAGGAACACCGAGUGGCGAAGGCGGGUCUC
rnacentral:rRNA from 1 species